UCUUCUUCCUAGCCACGAGGGAGCAGCUCUGCUUCAAUAUAUGUUCCCACCAUGAUGAACCACCCCAUCAUAGGCAGGGAGUCAUGGAGCCAGGAGAGAUGUGUUGGAACCUCUGAAACUGUGAGCCAAACACACCUUCCUCCUCAUAAGUUGCUUAGCUCAGGUAUCACAGCCACAGAAAGUAGACGUAUACAGUCUGCGAAACUUUUACUGGAGGGCGGAAACUGACUGUUAGAUGUAGUGUGGCAGCCUGGAUGGACCACACUGGGAAGGAAGAGCAGACUCCUCGACAGCAUGCAUGAAAGUUGGUUCUUGCAUGUGACAAAAGUCCUGCAGUGACAUGUCAGCAGAGGGAAGUGGUCAAGGGCCAUGUAGGAACUCCCCAUGCUAUCUUUGAAUACUUCUGUAAGUCUAAAAACUUAAAACAGAAAAGUUUAUUUUAAAAUACACUUAACUUAGCCCAGUGCCUGGAAUGUAGAAGGCACUCCCAUGGGCUCACAGCUAGUGGACUCACAGAUGUUCUUCUUGGCCUCUUAGGCGUACAUCUACCUUAAAACACAGAUGUGUUGGAUCCUUUUCCGAUUUCAGUGAAAGCAUGGAGCAGGGAGCUAGCCUCAUUAUUAGAAAAUAGUCUUUGCCAGCCCAGUAGCACAGGGAUCUUGUUAAGCCCUAAGUCGGACCACCGCAUCCCUCCUCUGCCCAGCACUCUCUAUGGCUCCUGCCUUACACGGGACAGACGCCAAAGUGGCUUGAGGGGCUCUGUGAAGCACCAGGAGAUGCAAGCACCUCCUCCCUGUUGUAGUGGCUGUCUGACACCUGCCUGCCUGUCUCUCUGUCCCUCAUCAGCCUGGACACCCCAGCCCCACAGUCAAGCACCUUCUCAGAGUCCUAUUCAACACCAUGGCCUUCCCCAGUGUCCAGUGCUCUCCUUGUCACCGUUUCAGCUCCUACCUGUUGCCAGAAGUGGCUCUCACCAAGUUCCACCAUCUGCUCCUGUAAAGCUGUGCUUCCUCACCAUGGGCCUACAACAAUGGAGCCAACCAAACGUGGACUCAAGUCUUUGCAGCCAUGAGCCUGAAUGACCUUUCCUCAUUUAGGGUGUGACUCCAAGCUGUGUGACCUCGGAUACAUACUUGCCUUCUCUGUGUUUCUGUUUGCUCCUUAUAAGAACAAUGAAUGCUAGCACCUGCCCCGGAGGUUGCUGCAGAAAUUACGUGGGGUAACACCACAGACAGUCUUGCCUGAUCCUCAGGAAGGUCAGCAGCAUUGUCAUCCAGGGUCCCACUCUGCUUAUCUUUAUGCCUCCUGCCUCAUCCCGUGCCCUUACUGAAAACCCAAUUUUCUUCCACCCAACCUAAUCUUUUUGCACACAUUGGACUCAGUUCAUUCAUCCAUUGCUGAGCAAUUUCUUCUUAGAGGGCUCUGUGGGCUGGGCAAGUGAGGGGAGACACAGUUUUCCUUUGAGGAAACAGGGUAUGUUAAAAAAAAAUGUUAUUCACAUGCUAAAAGGCUUCCUGGACUCAAUUAAGCCUGUAGACUUCACAGCUGAUUAGAAUCUCAUAUAUAGCAGCCUUGGCAGCCCUGAUUGUAGUGGGUGAGGCUGGCCCUUGGGCGCCCCCUUUCUGGAAUCCCCCUGUAGGUCAUUGAAAAGGAGCCUGGCUGCAGCUAAGCUCCUGGGGGAGAUGACUGAUGAUUGUUUUGGAAGGUCUCCUUUCUCCACUUUGAUUUAAAGCCAAUAGGAGAUUUCGUAGACAGUGCACAUCCCAUAGGGAUGAGCAGGAAGAAGAGAAUCUACCUGCCACCCGCUGCACACCCCUGGGGCCCAGCACGCGUGAGACACACUGUCAAGUAUGCAGCGUCAUCAUACAGACUGUUGUCACCCACAGCUCUGAGUCUGCGAGGGAUGUGCACACAGCUGUUUCUACGUGGUUGUAGCUUGACUAUGAAAUGUCCCUGUACACUCAUGCAUUUGAACACUUGGUCCCUGGCUCAUGGUGUGUCUCAGAUGUGGAGCCUCACUGGAGGCAGUGGAUCACUGUGAAGAAAUCUUUAAGGCAUUAUAUUCUAAUCUGGGAUCUACUCCCUCUCCACUUUUUAACUUUCUGUUCCAUGUAGACAUUAUUACUGGAUUUAGGGUCACACCCUGUGCCCCAACAAGCCAGGUUCAACCACCCAUCCUUGAAAAGCCAAUUAAAAGAGCCAAAUUAAUAGUGAAAAAAAGAAAUAGGAGAGACAGCAAUACAGUGAUCCCUCCCCCACUUAAGUGCGUCUUAGGAGUCUUAAGGCUCCUAAGUGUUAAGUAGAGGGCCCGGGUUGUGGGAGCCCGUUCUUGGGUUCCUCGUGGCUUUACCCAGCAGGUCCACAUAGAGGAUGA